UGAUGACGAGACGCUAAGGCGUUGAAGCAGUGUAUGUCAGACUUCCAAGAAAAGCUCGCAAUGUCAUAAAUAAAAAUGCCUGUACCAUAACCGACACAGGUGGGUAGGUAGAGUAUACUAAGGGGCGCGAGAUAACUCUCUCUAAGGAACUCGGCAAAAUGACUCCGUAACUUCGGGAGAAGGAGUGCCUUAUUUAUAAGGUUGCAAUAACAAGAUCCAAGCAACUGUUUAUCAAAAACACAGGUCUCCGCUAAGUCGUAAGACGAUGUAUGGGGGCUGACGCCUGCCCAGUGCCAGAAGGUUAAAGAAGUUGGUUAGUGUAUGCGAAGCUGAUGACUGAAGCCCUGGUGAACGGCGGCCGUAACAAUAACGGUCCUAAGGUAGCGAAAUUCCUUGUCGGGUAAGUUCCGACCCGCACGAAAGGCGUAAUGAUUUGGAUACUGUCUCGGAGAGAGGCUCGGUGAAAUAGACUUGUCUGUGAAGAUGCGGACUACCUGCACCAGGACAGAAAGACCCUAUGAAGCUUUACCGUAACUUGAAAUUGGAAUUGGACUUUGCUUGCGCAGUAUAGGUGGGAAGCGUUGAAGAUAUUCUUGCGGGAGUAUUGGAGCUAUCAGUGAGAUACCACUCUUGUAAUGUUAGAUUUCUAACUUUGAACCAUAAUCUGGUCAAAGAACAGUUUCAGGUGGGCAGUUUGACUGGGGCGGUCGCCUCCCAAAUGGUAACGGAGGCGUACAAAGGUUUCCUCUGAACGGAUAGAAAUCGUAUCUAGAGUGUAAAGGCAUAAGGAAGCUUGACUGUGAGACCUACAAGUCGAGCAGGGACGAAAGUCGGUCUUAGUGAUCUGACGGUACUGAGUGGAAAGGCCGUCACUCAACGGAUAAAAGUUACUCUAAGGAUAACAGGCUGAUCUCCCCCAAGAGUUCACAUCGACGGGGAGGUUUGGCACCUCGGUGUCGGCUCAUCGCAUCCUGGGGCGGUAGUACGUCCCAAGGGUUGGGCUGUUCGCCCAUGAAAGCGGUACGCGAGCUGGGUUCAGAACGUCGUGAGACAGUUCGGUCCAUAUCCGGUGUAGGCGCUAGAAUAUUGAGAGGAGCCUUCUUUAGUACGAGAGGACCGAGAAGGACACACCGCUGGUGUACCAGUUAUCGUGCCAACGGUAAACGCUGGGUAGCUAUGUGUGGAGUGGAUAACCGCUGAAAGCAUCUAAGUGGGAAGCCCACCUCAAGAUGAGUAUUCUC
rnacentral:rRNA from 1 species